CAGCCGCCGCGGGAAUACGGAGGGGGCUAGCGUUGUUCGGAAUUACUGGGCGUAAAGCGCACGUAGGCGGCUUGGUAAGUUAGAGGUGAAAGCCCGGAGCUCAACUCCGGAAUUGCCUUUAAGACUGCCGAGCUAGCAGGUGAGAGAGGUGAGUGGAAUUCCGAGUGUAGAGGUGAAAUUCGUAGAUAUUCGGAAGAACACCAGUGGCGAAGGCGGCUCACUGGCUCAUACUGGACGCUGAGGUGCGAAAGCGUGGGGAGCAAACAGGAUUAGAUACCCGCGUAGUCCCUGUCUCUUAUAC
rnacentral:rRNA from 1 species